GAUGAAGAACGUAGCGAAAUGCGAUAAGUAGUGUGAAUUGCAGAAGUACCGUGAAUCAUCGAAUCUUUGAACGCAAAUUGCACUCUCUGGUAUUCCGGGGAGUAUGCCUGUUUGAGGGUCGCUUAACAAACCAUCGAUUUCGUUGCUUUUUUUUUUAAAGUGAUGUUUAUCGGCUUUGAGCCGUCUUUUUUUUUAUAUUUAAGUGGCUUAAAAUUGAUUUUUUUGGUACGAACGAAGCGUAUUUUUAUGAUCAAUUUUUGGUUAAAGAAACGCACACGUACCGUUAUUUAUAUGAUGUAAUACGUUUGACUAUUGGAUUUAGUUCAUUCGUAUACGAUAUCUUUCAAUAUUUGACCUCAAAUCAGGUAAGAACACCCGCUGAACUUAAGCAUAUCAAUAAGCGGAGGA
rnacentral:misc_RNA from 1 species